GUAGUGAUGGUAACAUCCGCCUCCACCCACCAUAUUGUUGUAUGGUUUGUAUAGACGUAAUAAUCACAUUUUUCUCAACAGUAUGCACUACUUUGUGAUGGGAGCAUCAUUUGGUUUCAGCGAGAAUGAUAUGAUGACAAUACGAAGAUGGUGGUCUCUCACUCUCUGGAGAAACUUCCCUGUGAAUCAUGAUCAAAAAGCUUCUACUUCCUGGUUCUGUUGCUUUGAAGGAAAAAACUACAAGCCAAGUGGACUGUGACGUCAUCAGUUACGCAACAUCCGUCACAUUUACUUUCGGUUUGAAUUUCCCUGUUCAUGUGCGGCUCCAGACCGUUAGUUGGGUCUCAGUCUGUUGUUUAAAUUUUCUUCUUUAAUUCUUUGGAUCGUUUGAACAAACUGUGAAGGUAGAAAGUGUGUGUGAGCUGAUGUGAAUUCAGCAGCAUGGAUCAGUG